AAAACUGCAUCUAUAAUCAAAACAAUUGAACAAUAAUAACCAUUCCCAUUCUUUUUUAUCUCUAUUAUCUGCAUUUGUUAGAUAGAAAUAGACCACCCAUCAUCCUCUCACAUUCUUUCUCUCAUCAAUCUCAAGCAACAAAGGCGCGUAUAAACUUGCAACAAGGAAGCAAUCGAAAUAACCAUGGCUUAUCGUAUACGAAACCAUGAGAAGUCAACUUACAGGGCUGUUGCUUCGUUUCCUUCAGUCGAGUCAUUGCUAGGCAGGCUGAAUCACAUCGACGUUAGACUGAGGCAGCUGGAGGAAAAAGUGAGGCCCCAAGAGAGCUGUUUCUCCGGAGACCUUAGGGCUAGGAACAAGCCCCAAACUUCCACCAUGGAAGACGCUCACGUAAAGCACACGCUCAUGGACCGCCUCCGGUUGCUCGAGACAAAAAUCCGCCAGCUAAGCAACGAACUGCACAAAGGAAGCGACACCAGCUACAGAGUCAUUUCAUCUCCAGCUGAGAAACUGAUGCUGAAAAUAUCCAGUAAUAGUAGCAGAAGAAUGGUGAGAGGAAAGCCAUGGAGAUCUAGUGCAGAGAACGUUGAGAAGCAGAUGUCAAAAAAGGUGUGCUGUACAGCGAUGCUGGAAAGAGCUCUCAGAUGGAUGAGAUCGAGCAUUUUUUGUACUGGUGAUGAACACUGUUGUCUGAAUUCUUCAGUAUCUGAUGACUGUGAAGCAGAAGGAAUCCAUGCAGGCUGCUAUCACUGAGGAUAUGGAAAAUAAAGAUGCAAGAAGCAAGAAGUUAGCAGAACUGGUGAAAGUGAAAUGUUCGAGAUACAUGGUUGAAGAGAAGAAGCUAUAGUUGGGAAGAAGAUAAAGAAGGAGAAGAUGAAGAUAGUGAAGAUCACACUCUAUUUGAAGAACAAUUGCAUCAUUGGGUUGAACAAGAGGGAUAGGUAGAUAGCAUUCUUCCUCAGUCAAGAGAACAAAGUACUCCAGUUUCAUAGCCAAGACAUGAUGAAAUUCAACAUCUGCACUUUCCAAAGCUAAUAUAUGCAUAUUUCUGAUUUCUGGUAUACAACAAUAACUUAACAAGAUGAAUUGGAAAGGGAUUUGUGCUCAUAAAUUCUAUUGAUCGUA